CACGUAGGGGCCAAGCGUUGUCCGGAUUUAUUGGGCGUAAAGAGCUCGUAGGCGGUUCGACAAGUCGGGUGUGAAAACUCCGGGCUCAACCCGGAGACGCCACCCGAUACUGUCGUGACUGGAGUCCGGUAGGGGAGUGGGGAAUUCCUGGUGUAGCGGUGAAAUGCGUAGAUAUCAGGAGGAACACCGGUGGCGAAGGCGCUCAUCUGGCCCAACUACUGACGCUGAGGCGCGAAAGCCAGGGGAGCAAACGGG
rnacentral:rRNA from 1 species